CAUUCAAUAUGACCAAAAUGUUGCAUAAUAUAAUCUCACAUGAUGCACCAACGCGAACACAUCAAUGGCUUAUUGAGAGUGAUAUAGCUAUCUGGGCGUAGGUCACGUACAUGUCUGGGAUUUUUUAUUUUUUUAUUUUUAUUGAGCAUUGCAAUUAUCACAACAAUCUUUUUAAAAAUUUAUUAUCAGUUUUUGUCUUUACCCUACAAAAUAUAUACAUGGUGAGCGUAAGUUCCAUAAUAUGGAAUAAUUAAUUAUGCUCACAAAAUUAAAUCUUUCGUAUUAUGAAUAUCAAAAAGAAACUAACGAAUCAAUACAACGUAGAUCUAAAUACUCUCUACCAUCUCAUCAUUCCCACCCUUCAAACCUCCAAUUCAAGACGAAAUAUCUUUGACCAUAAACUUGGCUUUCCAAGAAACACAAUUCCAUGCACAAUACAUCUUUCUUGAUGAGCUCGUGUUUCUUAGGAAUAAAAGGAUGACGAAUGGUGAAAAGAAACUCAAACUCAAUGAAUGAGGUACGUUAGCGCCAAAGCCACCACCAUUAGCACGCAAGCGAUCCCUUGAUCAAUCGUUAAUCCUGUUUCAUCACCGCAUAUACAUAUAGGCACACACAUCAACUGAUACAAACAAUAAUAGAUAUAAAUAAAGAUAAAGAGACAAACUGACACGGACCAUCGACAGUUUGAUCAUCAAGCUCAGGGAAUUGAGCCACGGAUUCGGAGGUGAACCUUGGCCUUUGGUUUGGUGCCAUCGUAUGUGUCCUUAGCAACGCUAACGGUAGCCCUGCAAACGUCUCCGUGAGCAGAGUUACGUUUCGGGUGGUUUUGAAG
rnacentral:lncRNA from 1 species